AACAGAGCGGUCAAAUUAUAGGAGGGAAAAGAAAGACGACAGGGGCAGUGAUAAGGCGGCAAAAGCGGCAUACUCUUAAAAAAAAUUUCUCAGUUUUUUACACUCGCUUUCACAUCCCCAGCUCUCUCCCUCUCUCCCAAGUUCUCUUUCCCUGAUGUGGGCUUCAUACGAAUCUCACUUUCUAACGUGCAGCAAGCGAAACACUUGACAGUGUGGAAACCAUGAUUGACAUCUCUCCUCCUGGUGAUUGUGUGAAAUGGUUGCCAGAGGCUUGAAAGUACAGAUCCAAUACUAAAAGCAAAAUUAGCUACACACUUACAGUGAGGCUCUUUCGGCAUGCAGUUGACAUUACUCCACAGGUGUGCCACAGUACCGGAGGCCGCCGAAGCGGCAUCUGCGAGGGCCAAGAGAUGGCCGAAAGUUGGGUGAAUUGCAACAUGCAACUAACCUACCUGUUUGAGAGCCUUCUGUAAAACUAGAAAAUGUCUCUGAUCCCAACCAAGUUGCUCUCUCAAUCUGGUUUCCUUGUCCAUCUGUGUAGAUCGGUGUGGGUCUCGGUAGAUGGGGCUUAACUGGGGUUGUUGGAAUCCAAGAACCCUGAACUUGUAAUCCAUCUUCAUCCGGUUUUCUCGCAUCCAUUCCUUGUCUUCAGAAGUACAAAGCUUGAAAUUUUAACUCUUGUUUCUCUAUCCUUCGUCUUCUACCCUUUAUAAGCAACAACUUUCCCAGGUUGCU